AGAGAUGCCUCCGCCGCUCUCCGGCGCCCCCAAAGAGACCCGCAGCCUCUGCGGCCUGCUCGUCGCGUCCGUCGUCUCCGUCCUGUUCAUCCUCUCCCUCUCGCUCUCACCUUCCUCCUCUUCUCUGUUCUCCCACUCCCGCUCCUCUCCGGCGUCUUUUCUCCUCUCGACGUCUGCUGCCGACGUCACCGCUUCGAUCUUGUCCGGAAGCCCCGUGCCUUCCCCUCCCUCCCUCGCUUACUUCAUUUCGGGCUCCGACGGGGACGCGGAUCGCCUGCUCAGGCUCCUCUCCGCCGUAUACCAUCCUAGGAACGUGUACCUCUUGCAUCUCGACCUA
rnacentral:lncRNA from 1 species